rnacentral:rRNA from 1 species
AUUGAACGCUGGCGGCAGGCCUAACACAUGCAAGUCGAGCGGAUGAAGGGAGCUUGCUCCUGGAUUCAGCGGCGGACGGGUGAGUAAUGCCUAGGAAUCUGCCUGGUAGCGGGGGAUAACGUCCGGAAACGGGCGCUAAUACCGCAUACGUCCUGAGGGAGAAAGUGGGGGAUCUUCGGACCUCACGCUCUCAGAUGAGCCUAGGUCGGAUUAACUAGUUGGUGGGGUAAAGGCCUACCAAGCCGACGAUCCGUAACUGGUCUGAGAGGAUGAUCAGUCACACGGGAAGUGAGACACGGUCCAGACUCCUACGGGAGGCAGCAGUGGGGAAUAUUGGACAAUGGGCGAAAGCCUGAUCCAGCCAUGCCGCGUGUGUGAAGAAGGUCUUCGGAUUGUAAAGCACUUUAAGUUGGGAGGAAGGGCAGUAAGUUAAUACCUUGCUGUUUUGACGUUACCAACAGAAUAAGCACCGGCUAACUUCGUG